GAUGAACGCUGACGGCGUGCCUAAUACAUGCAAGUCGAGCGAACAGAUAAGGAGCUUGCUCCUUUGACGUUAGCGGCGGACGGGUGAGUAACACGUGGAUAACCUACCUAUAAGACUGGGAUAACUUCGGGAAACCGGAGCUAAUACCGGAUAACAUAUUGAACCGCAUGGUUCAAUAGUGAAAGGCGGCUUUGCUGUCACUUAUAGAUGGAUCCGCGCCGUAUUAGCUAGUUGGUAAGGUAACGGCUUACCAAGGCAACGAUACGUAGCCGACCUGAGAGGGUGAUCGGCCACACUGGAACUGAGACACGGUCCAGACUCCUACGGGAGGCAGCAGUAGGGAAUCUUCCGCAAUGGGCGAAAGCCUGACGGAGCAACGCCGCGUGAGUGAUGAAGGUCUUCGGAUCGUAAAACUCUGUUAUCAGGGAAGAACAAAUGUGUAAGUAACUGUGCACAUCUUGACGGUACCUGAUCAGAAAGCCACGGCUAACUACGUG
rnacentral:rRNA from 1 species